UGGGAUCUUCCGGGACCAGGGCUUGAAUCUGUGUCCCCUGCAUUGGCAGGCGGAUUGUCAACCACUGCGCCACCAGGGAAGUCCCUAUAUUAAUUCUUUUGUUUGCUUUACUAAUUAAAUAACUUAAGGCCAAAGCCUCAUCUCUCAUAGAUAUGCUCCAUUGUUUUAUAGGGUAGUGCUAAGAAUGCUAGCUUUAUUUUCAGAUUCUAGCCCCAUUUAAUUAAUAAUAUGACUUUGUGUAAGUUUCUUGAUUCCUAGGUGAUUUUAUUCACUUGUAAAAUUAUCAUAAUGGUUCUUAUAUGUAAAUAAUACAUGGAAGAGUGGUUAGAAUAGGGCGUGGCACAUAUUGAACACAUAUAUUUGUUGAAUGAAUAAUGUAAUCUUUUAUGGUAAUGUGUGCUGAUUAAACAGAUAAAAAUAUACAGAUGGUGACUAGCAUAUGUGCCAUAAAGUUAGAGAUUGAACAUGUUAAUAAUGUUUUAUUUAAUGAAUUUCAAUAAGCUGAUAGGAAAUUGAAAAUCCUUAGAACAUUUUUUGUUUCCUGUUGAUUAUUUUGUUUGUAUUUCAAGGCUCUUCAUCGGUUACCUGCUCUCUUAAAAAAAAUCAGUUUGGAAAAAAAAAUCAGUUUGGUAUAUAAAGAAUAAACUAUAUAAUGAGGAAGAAGAGCAGCUUAUUUUGUCUAUAAAACAAAUCACUUAUGAAUGAAUUUAAGAUAAAAGUAUUCGUUUGUUGAAUGCCACACACGGACUCUUACCACUGAAGAGAGCUAGUGGCAUCUGACAAAGAACCAUGAUACCUGGCUGAAACUCCAGGAUGGAAGUAAUGCACAAGUCACUUUAUAAAAGCCAACACUGUAAAUCGUACGUAAUGGCUAUAUGCAAACUAGUGAUCAAAGUUAAUAAUUUUAGAAGGGAAAAGUUUACAGUUAGCUUAUAAGUGGCUGUGUAAACCGAUGCAGUAGCUGUUAAGCAGCUUUCCAAAUCCUUGGAAGGCCAGUGUGCCAAUAAGAGAGUCCUCAUGAGCAUUCCCACAUCUGGCUCAAGUGACUUAGGGGGGAUGAGAGCUAGAAUCACAUUCCUCUCCUCUCCCCAAGUCCUCAUUCUAGUCAGUCAGACUUUUCUCAGCCCCUGCUACCACAUUUCUGCCACAUUUAAUCAUAAAGUACUAGGUCUUAAAUGUUCCAAGUAGCUUUUUUUUUUUUAAUUGUAAAUACUGUCUUUACCAGAGCUGGUGCUGGCACUGUUUUGGAGAUCCUCUAUGGGAUCUCAUAUUAACUGCCUGACUUACUUGCGAGUAAAAGAAAAGUGAGAGGCUCUUCAUUUUACAUUGUAGUUCGUUAGUUUGGAUUUAAGCCAGGGGUGUUGGUUCCCGCAGUAUAAUACUGUGUUUGCAUUAUUUGAUACUGCUUCUCAGAAUCGACUCUUGUUUAAAUUUUUUUUUUU